rnacentral:rRNA from 2 species
UAAGACGGGUGCCAGCCGCCGCGGUCAUACCCGCAGCCCGAGUGGGGGCCACUAUUAUUGGGUCUAAAACAUCCGUAGCCGGUCUGGCAAAUGCCUAGGGAAAUCGGAUGGCUCAACCAUUCGAAGUCUAGGUAGACUGCUGGACUUGAGACCGGGAGAGGUCAGAGGUACUCUUGGGGUAGCGGUAAAAUGCUGUAAUCCUGAGAGGACCACCAGUGGCGAAAGCGUCUGACCAUAACGGCUCUGACGGUAAGGGAUGAA